GUCUGCAGAAGCUACAGCAGAGCUGAUAGAGCUGGGUUUUUCAUCAGUACAUGUGGGGACACUGGUCUUGGCCUUUUCUGCACCAGUACUUUGGAUUAUAAUUCUUCUUUUACAUAAUUGUUUAGAUCUAGAUGAUGAUUCUAAUGUGUUAUAUUGGCCAUUCAUCAUUGUCCCUAGUGCCUCAUUGUCUAUUUCAUUUAUCCUCUGGGGUGUAAUUGAAGGGUCUUUGGAAGAAGUGAUCAUGUGUGUGACUGUUAAUCUACUGAGGAAUUUAACUUUUCUAGCUAUUGUAGGGUCUUUGAAAGAAGUGAUCAAUUGCAAGAGUUAUUGGUAUUGGAAGUGGAUGAGGAUUGUACCAUUUAAAAGAAAAUCUGUGGAGAAAUCAGUUUCCAUCAGUUUCUCAAUAAUUCAUUUUGUUGUGAUAACAGUGAUGUGGUCUGUUGCUCUGUGGGAGUAUUUCAAGAGCCACACACCAGACACAGCUGUCACAGCAGGUAUUGGACUGGCCUGUACCUCAUCACUGCUCUCCUCUCUCUGCGGGGUUUUUAUUAAAGUGUAUUUCAUAUGGAGGAAAACUUCUCAAAGCAAUUCAGAGCAGAGGGAAUCUUCUCAAAGCAUCAGCAGUACAGGUAUGGUCUUCUUACCUCAGUGUGUGACACAGGAGACACUGCAGGGCCAAGCAGAACCUGAGACACACAAAAUAGAAACACCAGACAGUGAGAGAAAGUCUCUUACAUCCUGAAUCAUGUGCAGCAAAAUGUUCCUGCAGAGUGAUGUGGACAGGAACAGUACUGAGAAACAGUUAACAACACGUCUUUAUACUGAAUCAAUACAUCUGUAAAACCCUUCCAAAGGAAGAUGGUCCUGCUUUCAUGAGUUGAAAGAUGAUGCUGAAGCCUGAUUUGUAUCACUGACAGCACAAAGCAGAAUCCAGCCCCAUCCUGAACACCACCACUGAGACUGAGACCAGCUACAGGUGCACUGUCACACUGUGAGGCUGCCCGUCUCCCAGUAACACAACCUGCAGUAUAACAGGCUGUCUGAGACAGAGGGUUCGUAUCUGCCUGUGACACCCUCCAGCCCUGCUGUCUCAGAUCAGUGAGGACCAGCUCUCGAGUCCUGGAGACUGACAUCAUGUGACCAACUUCUCUGUUUCCACUGGGUCAACUUCCCACCAGACUGUAGAGAUCUGAGGUCCUGCAGGAGACACAGAAGACACUGGAGUUUUAUUAUUGAUGGUGCUGCAGGUUGUACUGCCCUUGAUAUCCCUCACUGGUCUGUGCUGCAGACAUGGGAGAGAAAUCCCACAUUAACUGGGAUGAGGAAGAGAUGCCAGCAGAUAGACACUGAGGUGACCAUGU